AAGAUGGCGACCGGCGCACGGGUGAGUAACACGUAUCCAACCUGCCGAUAACUCUGGAAUAGCCUUUCGAAAGAAAGAUUAAUACCGGAUAGUAUACGAAUAUCGCAUGAUAUUUUUAUUAAAGAAUUUCGGUUAUCGAUGGGGAUGCGUUCCAUUAGUUUGUUGGCGGGGUAACGGGCCCACCAAGACUACGAUGGAUAGGGGUUCUGAGAGGAAGGUCCCCCACAUUGGAACUGAGACACGGUCCAAACUCCUACGGGAGGCAGCAUG
rnacentral:rRNA from 1 species